rnacentral:rRNA from 1 species
GAUGAACGCUGGCGGCGUGCCUAAUACAUGCAAGUCGAGCGAACGGACGAGAAGCUUGCUUCUCUGAUGUUAGCGGCGGACGGGUGAGUAACACGUGGAUAACCUACCUAUAAGACUGGGAUAACUUCGGGAAACCGGAGCUAAUACCGGAUAAUAUUUUGAACCGCAUGGUUCAAAAGUGAAAGACGGUCUUGCUGUCACUUAUAGAUGGAUCCGCGCUGCAUUAGCUAGUUGGUAAGGUAACGGCUUACCAAGGCAACGAUGCAUAGCCGACCUGAGAGGGUGAUCAGCCACACUGGAACUGAGACACGGUCCAGACUCCUACGGGAGGCAGCAGUAGGGAAUCUUCCGCAAUGGGCGAAAGCCUGACGGAGCAACGCCGCGUGAGUGAUGAAGGUCUUCGGAUCGUAAAACUCUGUUAUUAGGGAAGAACAUAUGUGUAAGUAACUGUGCACGUCUUGACGGUACCUAAUCAGAAAGCCACGGCUAACUACGUG